UGCUGAGACAUUUAAAGAGUGUGGGAAUUUUGUUUAGUAUGGGUGCAUUAUUUCUUUUUUGCAGGUUACAGACUGUGGCUCCGUCACUUUGCCAGCUGCCUUUCUGCCUUAGCAGCUCUCAGUAUUGUUCUGUGUCUUGGAACUGCAGGUUUUCCACAAAAGAAAAUUUGGUUGUGUCAAGAUUGCACUUUUGCAUUAAUGAACUGUCAGAAAACCCGAGAGAAUACAACCAAAGAGUUUGGUUUCUAAGUGGAUGCAGAUGAGCCAAAAUACAAGGAUUGCAAAAAAUGUGUUUUAACCAGACUCUGAAGCCCCAGGCCCAUAAAUACUGAGAACUUUUCAGGAGGCUAAUUCCUUCAUUUCUCCCAUGCCAUAAUUGCUUAUCUCAUUAAGAGAUUGCUCCAUUAAAUUUAUAUUUGUAUUUUUUAUAUCUUAUAUUUGAAAACAUGAAUGCAUAAUGUCUCCCUGGGACUCUGCACCAUUAUGAUGAAAGAUACAAAUGCAGUCUAAGACAGACAUGUUUAAUUAGUGAGCAAACUUGACAUUUUCAGUGUUUAGGCUAGACAGACAAAAAGCCAAGAGCAAAUUAGCAUGAUUUUUUCCUUAAUUUUAUUUUUUAGAUUGUAGACAGAAAAUAAUUUAUUGAACUGAAAUGAAAAUGAAACUUCUCUACAUAUGUAGUGGAUAAAAGACUGUAAGAAUUAGGACUUGGUAUUUAAUCACAAAUCCGAAUAUUCCAAAUACUUAUAUCAUUUUUGAAUGACAUCUCAAAUGCUGUAGGCAGCAGUGGCAGACCCACAUCUUUGAUAAUAAAAAAUAUUAAAUCAUCUCCUUUUGAAACUCA
rnacentral:lncRNA from 1 species